UUCUUACGAAGGUAUGCUUAAAGAGGGGCUUGCGCCACAUUAGUUAGUUGGUAGAGUAAAAGCCUACCAAGACGAUGAUGUGUAGCUGGACUGAGAGGUUGAACAGCCACAUUGGGACUGAGACACGGCCCAAACUCCUACGGGAGGCAGCAGUAGGGAAUUUUCGGCAAUGGAGGAAACUCUGACCGAGCAACGCCGCGUGAACGAUGAAGUAUUUCGGUAUGUAAAGUUCUUUUAUUGAAGAAGAAAAAGUAGUGGAAAAACUAUAUUGACGUUAUUCAAUGAAUAAGCCCCGGCUAACUAUGUGCCAGCAGCCGCGGUAAGACAUAGGGGGCGAGCGUUAUCCGGAAUUAUUGGGCGUAAAGGGUGCGUAGGCUGUUAGAUAAGUCUAUAAUUUAAUUUCAGUGCUUAACGCUGUCUUGUUAUAGAAACUGUCUUGACUAGAGUGAGAUAGAGGCAAGCGGAAUUCCAUGUGUAGCGGUAAAAUGUGUAAAUAUAUGGAGGAACACCAGAAGCGUAGGCGGCUUGCUGGGUCUUUACUGACGCUGAGGCACGAAAGCGUGGGUAGCAAACAGGAUUAGAUACCCUGGUAGUCCACGCCGUAAACGAUGAGUACUAAGUGUCGGGGUAAAACUCGGUACUGAAGUUAACACAUUAAGUACUCCGCCUGAGUAGUACGUACGCAAGUAUGAAACUUAAAGGAAUUGACGGGACUCCGCACAAGCGGUGGAUCAUGUUGUUUAAUUCGAAGAUACACGAAAAAUCUUACCAGGUCUUGACAUACUCUGCAAAGCUAUAGAAAUAUAGUGGAGGUUAUCAGGGAUACAGGUGGUGCAUGGUUGUCGUCAGUUCGUGUCGUGAGAUGUUAGGUUAAGUCCUAAAACGAACGCAACCCUUGUCGUUAAUUGCCAGCACAUAAUGGUGGGGACUUUAACGAGACUGCCAAUUAAACAUUGGAGGAAGGUGAGGAUUACGUCAAAUCAUCAUGCCCCUUAUGAUCUGGGCUACAAACGUGAUACAAUGGCUGUGACAAAGAGUAGCUGAAACGCGAGUUUUUAGCCAAUCUCAAAAAAGCAG
rnacentral:rRNA from 1 species